rnacentral:rRNA from 1 species
AGAGUUGAUCGAUGGCUCAGGACGAACGCUGGCGGCGUGCUUCAUACAUGCAAGUCGAACGAGAAUCUCUAGCUUGCUAGAGAGGAAAGUGGCGGACGGGUGAGUAAAAUGUAGAGAAUCUGCCCUUAAGAUGGGGACAACAGUUGGAAACGACUGCUAAUACCCGAUAUGCGCGUAGCUGAGAUGCUAUUCGUGAAAACUCCGGUGCUUAAGGAUGAGUCUGCAUCUGAUUAGCUAGUUGGGGGUGUAAUGGACCACCAAGGCGACGAUCAGUAGCUGGUUUGAGAGGAUGAUCAGCCACAAUGGGACUGAGACACGGCCCAUACUCCUACGGGAGGCAGCAGUAGGGAAUUUUGCGCAAUGGGGGAAACCCUGAACCGCAGCAACGCCGCGUGAUUGAAGAAGCCCUUCGGGGUGUAAAGAUCUGUCAGUGGGGACGAAACUUGACGGUACCCACAGAGGAAGCAUCGGCUAACUCCGUGCCAGCCGCGGC